AUUGAACGCUGGCGGCAUGCCUUACACAUGCAAGUCGAACGGCAGCACGGGUGCUUGCACCUGGUGGCGAGUGGCGAACGGGUGAGUAAUACAUCGGAACGUACCUUAUCGUGGGGGAUAACGCAGCGAAAGCUGUGCUAAUACCGCAUACGCCCUGAGGGGGAAAGCGGGGGAUCGCAAGACCUCGCGCGAUUAGAGCGGCCGAUGCCUGAUUAGCUUGUUGGUGGGGUAAAAGCCCACCAAGGCGACGAUCAGUAGCUGGGCUGAGAGGACGACCAGCCACACUAGAACUGAGCCACGGCCCAGACUCCUACGGGAGGCAGCAGUGGGGAAUUUUGGACAAUGGGGGCAACCCUGAUCCAGCAAUGCCGCGUGAGUGAAGAAGGCCUUCGGGUUGUAAAGCUCUUUUGUCAGGGAAGAAACACCGGCUCUAACACAGUCCGGGAAUGACGGUACCUGAAGAAUAAGCACCGGCUAACUACGUGCCAGCAGCCGCAGUAA
rnacentral:rRNA from 1 species